UAAAGAUCAUCACAAGCACAAGCAUCAAAACCAAGCAACACUGGUUAACACCAAUCCACCAUGAAGACCUUCCUCAUCUUUGCUCUCCUCGCCAUUGUGGCGACAAGUGCCAUUGCACAAAUGGAGAAUAGCCACAUCCCUGGUUUGGAGAGACCAUCGCAGCAACAACCAUUACCACCACAACAAACAUUAUCGCACCACCAACAACAACAACCCAUCCAACAACAACCACAACCAUUUUCACAACAGCAACCAUGUUCACAGCAACAACAACAACAACCAUUAUCGCAGCAACAACAACCACCAUUUUCACAACAACAACCACCAUUUUCGCAGCAACAACAACAACCAUUAUCGCAGCAACAACAACCACCAUUUUCACAACAACAACCACCAUUUUCGCAGCAACAACAACCACCAUUUUCACAACAACAACCACCAUUUUCGCAGCAACAACAACCAGUUCUACCGCAACAACCAUCAUUUUCACAGCAACAACUACCACCAUUUUCACAGCAACAAUCACCGUUUUCGCAACAACAACAAAUAGUACUACAGCAACAACCACCAUUUUUGCAACAACAACAACCAAGUCUACCGCAACAACCACCAUUUUCGCAGCAACAACAACAACUAGUUCUACCGCAACAACAAAUACCAUUUGUUCAUCCAUCUAUCUUGCAGCAGCUAAACCCAUGCAAGGUAUUCCUCCAGCAGCAAUGCAGCCCUGUGGCAAUGCCACAAAGUCUUGCUAGGUCGCAAAUGUUGCAGCAGAGCAGUUGCCAUGUGAUGCAACAACAAUGUUGCCAGCAGUUGCCGCAAAUCCCCCAGCAAUCCCGCUAUGAGGCAAUCCGUGCUAUCAUCUACUCCAUCAUCCUGCAAGAACAACAACAGGUUCAGGGUUCCAUCCAAACUCCUCAGCAGCAACCCCAACAGUUGGGCCAAUGUGUUUCCCAACCCCAACAGCAGUCACAACAACAACUCGGGCAACAACCUCAACAACAACAAUUGGCACAAGGUACCUUUUUGCAGCCACACCAGAUAGCUCAGCUUGAGGUGAUGACUUCCAUUGCGCUCCGUACCCUGCCAACGAUGUGCCGUGUCAAUGUGCCGUUGUAUAGAACCACCACUAGUGUGCCAUUCGGUGUUGGCACCGGAGUUGGUUCCUACUAAUAAGGAAAGGUCUCUAGUAAUAUAUAGUUGGAUCACCGUUGUUUAGUCGAUGGAUAUGUCGAUGCAGCGGUGACAAAUAAAGUGUCACACAAUGUCGUGUGUGACCCGCCCAUACUAGUUGUUUAAAUUCUGAAAUAAAAUAAAAAUAAAGUUGUAUCAA